rnacentral:rRNA from 1 species
UACGAAGGGGGCUAGCGUUGCUCGGAAUCACUGGGCGUAAAGCGCACGUAGGCGGCCUCUUAAGUCGGGGGUGAAAUCCUGGAGCUCAACUCCGGAACUGCCUUCGAUACUGCGAGUCUCGAGUCCGGGAGAGGUGAGUGGAACUGCGAGUGUAGAGGUGAAAUUCGUAGAUAUUCGCAAGAACACCAGUGGCGAAGGCGGCCCACUGGCCCGGUACUGACGCUGAGGUGCGAAAGCGUGGGGAGCAAACAGG